AGCAGCCGCGGUAAUUCCAGCUCCAAUAGCGUAUAUUAAAGUUGUUGCAGUUAAAAAGCUCGUAGUUGAAUUUCGGGAUCGAAUUGUUGGUCGUGCUUCGGUACGCACUGGCAUUAUCGGUUCCUACCUUCUGAAGAAUCGCGAUGUCAUUAAUUUGGUGUCGUGGGGAAUCAGGACUGUUACUUUGAAAAAUUAGAGUGUUUAAAGCAGGCUUACGCUUGAAUAUAUUAGCAUGGAAUAAUGAAAUAGGACGUUCGAUCCUAUUUUGUUGGUUUCUAGGAUUGACGUAAUGAUUAAUAGGGAUAGUUGGGGGCAUUAGUAUUCAAUUGUCAGAGGUGAAAUUCUUGGAUUUAUUGAAGACUAACUACUGCGAAAGCAUUUGCCAAGGAUGUUUUCAUUAAUCAAGAACGAAAGUUAGGGGAUCGAAGACGAUCAGAUACCGUCGUAGUC
rnacentral:rRNA from 1 species